rnacentral:rRNA from 1 species
CCUACGGGGGGCAGCAGUAAGGAAUAUUGGUCAAUGGAGGCAACUCUGAACCAGCCAUGCCGCGUGCAGGAUGAAGGCCCUAUGGGUCGUAAACUGCUUUUAUACCAGAGAAAACCCUCGUACGUGUACGAGGCUGAUAGUAUGGUAAGAAUAAGCAUCGGCUAACUUCGUGCCAGCAGCCGCGGUAAGACGAAGGAUGCAAGCGUUAUCCGGAUUCAUUGGGUUUAAAGGGUGCGUAGGCGGACUUGUAAGUCAGUGGUGAAAUCUCUUUGCUUAACAAAGAAACUGCCAUUGAUACUGCUAGUCUAGAGUAUAGAUGACGUUGGCGGAAUAUGACAUGUAGUGGUGAAAUACUUAGAUAUGUCAUAGAACACCGAUUGCGAAGGCAGCUAACGAAACUAUAACUGACGCUGAGGCACGAAAGUGCGGGGAUCAAACAGGAUUAGAUACCCCAGUAGUC